UCGAGAAAAGCAAAGGUACGCAACUUCUUUACCCAAAUCUUCUCAUAUCAUCAAUAAGACUUUCAAAGGUACAAAGACUGUUUUGCAGUUAACCAAGCCACGAGAUUAUCGUAGAGCGCUUGUUGGUUCUUUUGAUGAUGUUGCAGGUAGAAUAAGUGUCCCACCCAUACCUAGACUAUGCCCUGCUGCUGUUCCUCGUGUACUUGGUCGAUCUCCUACACCUAAUGCUUAUAAGCCACCUUGGAUGAUGAGACACUAUUCUCGGAGGCAUUUAGUGCCGCUUUCUGACCAACCGGAUGCAUGAACCCCAACAAAGUCAAGCUAAUGACUGAAAACAAGUGCUUAGUGGGAGGUAACCCACUUGUGAGUUUUUUCUAUUUCUUUUGCAUUUAUUUUAGUUUUAUUUUCUUUUGUUCGCCAAUCUUAGACUUGGUAACACUGGGGACAGUGUUGUUUAAGUCUGGGGGAGGUAGUUACUCACAUUGUUUAUUCUUUUGGAGUUUUAUCGAGUCAG
rnacentral:lncRNA from 1 species